rnacentral:rRNA from 1 species
UAAAACCUUACUGUUCUGAAUGUUUUCAAUUUAGUCUAAUCUUGGAAGCUCAGUGGAAUCAGGCCUGGUUAGUGCUUGAAAGGGAGACUUCCAGGAAAGGUUACAU